GAGAGCAGAAUUGGCCAUGAUGUAGUCAGCAUCUAAGGACUUGGACUGAAAUAAGACACAGAAAAUCUGGGGUGGUGGCGACUAUUGUGAGAAAUGGCAAUGGAACAGAGAUUUUUCCAAUAGAGAGAUGUGGUCUCCCAACAGGAAAGGCAUUUCCAACUCCUACAGAUGGAUGGAACACUGAAACUUCUAGUCAUAUAUCCCACGGGUCCAACUUCAAUGGCCACAUGUUUAAAUUCUUGGAUUUCCUUAUAAACUCCAAGGAAUGCUUCAGGAUGACACAGCAAGAUGGCCCUUCCAAGAUACUGGCCCUUCAAUCUUGAAUUUCUCAGCCUCAAAAUAUGUAAGCCAAUAAAUUUCAUGGAAUAAUAACAAAAACAAUAUCUACCACAGGCAGUUCUUAUUUUAUUGUGCAUCAUUUUAUUAAACUUUUCAGAUUUGCAUUUUUUACAAAUUGAAGGUGUGUGGCGGCAACCCUUCAUCAGGCAACUCUGUUGGCGGCAUUUUUCCAGCAGCUUGUGCUCACUUUGUGUUUCUGUGUCACAUUUUGGUAAC